GAGCGGUGGUGGACGGCUGACCGAAAGGAGGAAAGUCCCUCCACCCGUUAAGGUGGGCUCCGUAAGGAGCAUUCCCGAGAGGGAAUCGGGUGGAACAGAAAGUCCCCGGCAGGAGGAAAUGCGAUGAAGCUGAAAAGCUUAGGUCACUCCUGCUGGUUGAAAAUGGCCACCCGCCACCGGGUGCAAGGCUUAAUGCCGCUUAGACUGAUGCCGUCGGAACAGAAGAGGGCUUACUACCACCACUC
rnacentral:RNase_P_RNA from 1 species